rnacentral:ncRNA from 2 species
CGUUGAGCCUCGGGGUGCCUGCAAAGGCUGAGAUGCAUGAUGCGAACCCGUUGAACCUGACCCGGUUAACACCGGCGGAGGGAAGGUAUCGGACACACGC